GUAUGGAUGAACAUAAAAACCACGACACUGUAUCAGCUGCAGCACAGAGGACAGAGAAACAGAAGCAGCUGAAGGAGACGCAGAAGACGUUCCAGCAGAGAAUCCAGCAGAGAGAGAAAGAUCUUCAGCAGGUGAGAGAGGCUGUGGAGUCUCAUAAGCGCUCUGCACAGACAGCAGUGGAGGACAGUGAGAGGAUCUUUACUGAGCUCAUCCGCUCCAUUGAGAGAAGCCGCUCUGAGCUGAUACGGCUGAUCAGAGAUCAGGAAAAGCGAGCGGUGAGUCGAGCUGAAGGACGACUGGAGCGACUGGAGCAGGAGAUCAAUGAUCUGAGGAGGAGAGACGCUGAGCUGGAGCAGCUUUCACACACACAGGAUCACAUCCAGUUCCUGCAGGUAACAGAGAUCUAGAAGAACACCAUCAUAGUGGACUUGAGACACAUCCUGCUGUGACAGGAG